GCUUUAGAACACCCUCCUGGAACGUUUGCUUUUCACACUGUAAAUUAGCCUCUCCCCACCCCCACCCCGCAAGGGAAAAUAUUUUUAAAUAGGCUCAAACUCAGACAACAGAAUUACAGUUGGAAAUAAAUCAGGAGGGCUGCGUUCAGAUGCCAAAUGGGCUACUAACUUGCUCUUCAAUCUCAAGUUCCAAUACAAGGCCCCAGAAUAGUGCAUGCAAACAAUGACCCUCAAGCUGUCAUUGUCGAUGGCCAGUACAAUCUGCUACCACAGUCUGUGACCUGGUAAAGAGACCAGCUUCUCUCUUCGAGUACCAAGGCCCAAUUAUGCCAACGCAUGUCCAACCUACCACCUGGCUCAUGAUGACUCAGAAGUACACUUCUGUAUCCGAACGGCAAAGACACAUUGAGCUGCAAGAACAAUGAGUAAGUGUCCUUAGUGUAUUAGACGUGGAAAAAUACAAACAAGGUGUAAAAAA